AACAUGAACUAUGAUUAUAACACCUUUGAAAUGAUCUAGAUGUUGUAGGCCAAAUCACUUUCGUCCAAGGGUCAAACUUGAAUGAUCCAACUUCUACUCAACGUUUGGUUUUGCGAUACCGGAUUGAUUCGUAAGCUAGCACUUCCAAACCAAAAAAAAAUAAUGAACAAAACUUUAAAAUUGAACUGAUACUUCCGUCUUUUUAUUUUAAGGUCUGUUAUUGUCUACUUAUCACUAUGGGAUGAUGUCGCCGCAACCUUUCGUGCCCAUCUUAGCUCUGGUGAUACAAUUUACUCGGUCAUGCUUGAGGACGAGCUGAGGAGCUUGAGGACGAGCUGAGGAGCUUGAGGACGAGCAAAGGAGCUUGAGGACGAGCAGAGGAGCUUGAGGACGAGCUGAGGAGCUUGAGGGCGAGCUGAUAAGCUUGAGGACGAGCAGAGGAGCUAGAGAACGAGCUGAGGAGCUUGAAGACGUUUUAAUAUGGAUUUCUUCGUCCUUUUUUCCUUGAGAUGCCUCUCUAUUUAUAGAAAAACUAAGCUGGUGAUAGGAUCAUGGACCAACUUUUAUGGGCUUUUUGGGCUUGAUGUUGAUUAGUUUAUUCUUGAUUUGGGCCGAGCUAAAAUGAGGGGUGCAAUCCAUCCCCCAACAUGCCCCAUGGAGCUUUCCGUAUUUUUCUUCCCCAGAAGCUCAAACAUCAACAGUUAUUCACUAAAAGGUACUUAAAUACAUGGCUUAAUUCCUACAAAAUUCUACUACUUGCAAUUAAAUUCAUACUUUUAAUAUCUCAAAUCGAAAUUGUAACUGGAGAAAAGCAAAAACCUCCUAUAGAUCUUCCUUUAAAUUACUAUAAAAUCAUCAUCUCCUAUACUAGGUGCAUCAGCAAACGAUGAACGCGUGCUCAAAACCCUUAAUCUUGCUCCGUUGGUGAAGAAACCGUUAUCAUGCCGCAAACACCAUCUUAUUAUGAAGAAAUGUCUUGCCAACAACAACCCGGAUGCUCACUACAUAAAAGGUAUAAUAUGGUACUUUAACCUUGAUCAUUGUGACGUUGGUCUCCACCAUAUUGGCAUAGCAGCUAACGGAGGCCAGAAAGAAGCAAUCUACAUGUAUGUCAUGCUAUUAUUAUGUAGAGGAAGGACUGAAGAGGGAAAAACCUAUAUGAGCCAACUUGAAUGGGCUAAAGACACCACCAUGGCUGAAACGUGUUGGAAACAAAUCAAAACUUCACUAAAUGGGAUUAGAGUGGCGAGAAAAAGAUGCUACAUGAUAUCACUUCGCAACAUGAAACCCCCCGACGUGUGCCAUCCAAGAAAUUUGGACAACACAUGUGAGAAAUGUUUUUUCUACAAACAAAUGUUUAAGUUUAUUUUUAUGGUAUAACUUAAACAAAACAACUAGAGAGUUGGAAACUGUUUUUAAAAAAUUCCCUAUAAUGUUUGUGGCAGUGAACUAUCACAAAGACUCAAAACAAAGUAAAAGUUAUUACUCUUAUUUCUUUUGCUUUAAUGUGUGUCAUUCCUUGCUGUUAUAAGGAAAUUU
rnacentral:sRNA from 1 species